GGGCUUCAGACCUUAGUCUUUGACCUUUGGCCUUCUGAGCACUGUGCUGUGUUAACACAGUUAAUCAGCAACUGUACUUCCCAACCGGAGAUAAGGAGGCUUUGUGGAAGUUGAAUAGCCUGGGACUGCUGCUUUUGCUCUUGCCUGCACCCUCCUCUGAAAAAACAUCCAGGCAAGAUGCACAGCAUAGCUGUCAAUGCCUGGAGGAGUCCUUUGGGCUUCGGCAGGGGUUCCUGUUCGCGUUCACAUCAUCUGCUGGCCCCUGAAGAAAGCCUAGGACAUCUGAUUGAGUAGUAACGGUCCCCAUGUAUUGAACACAGUACUGUUAGGCACCAUGCCAAGCAGUUUAUUCUGUAUUUCCACGUGUUAUGUAACCAGCAACCAAGCCAUAAGCUUAGUAUGAUCACUACCAUCCCCAUUACUCAGAUGAAGACAGAUCUAGAGGCUGCGAAGGCUGGCUAAAGUCACUCAGCUUAGUGGCAGAGCCGAGAUGUAACCCAGCUCCCCCAAGACCAGAACGUGAAGUUUUG
rnacentral:lncRNA from 10 species